AACGAACGCUGGCGGCAGGCCUAACACAUGCAAGUCGAGCGCCCUUUCGGGGGAGCGGCGGACGGGUGAGUAACGCGUAGGAAUAUGCCCUUCUCUACGGAAUAGCCUCGGGAAACUGAGAGUAAUACCGUAUACGCCCUGUGGGGGAAAGAUUUAUCGGGGAAGGAUUAGCCCGCGUUGGAUUAGGUAGUUGGUGGGGUAAUGGCCUACCAAGCCGACGAUCCAUAGCUGGUUUGAGAGGAUGAUCAGCCACACUGGGACUGAGACACGGCCCAGACUCCUACGGGAGGCAGCAGUGGGGAAUCUUAGACAAUGGGGGCAACCCUGAUCGAGCCAUGCCGCGUGAGUGAUGAAGGCCUUAGGGUUGUAAAGCUCUUUCAGCUGGGAAGAUAAUGACGGUACCAGCAGAAGAAGCCCCGGCUAACUCCGUG
rnacentral:rRNA from 1 species